GGUUUGUUAAGCAAACCACCACCUGCCUCUCUCUUCUCUCUCUCACGUCACGCCUUGCUGGAAAUAGCAAAGUCGCAGGCGAUAUUACUUUAUUUCAGUCAUGCCCGUCUGUUUUGGGUAAGAGCAUUAAUUUCCCUUACCCCAUCACCGUCGAUAUGCCACCACACCAAAAGGAAAACCCUCUUUCUCUUUCCUUGCUUUUCUGCACAUCAAGGACGAAGUCCUUAAUGAACUUUGUCAUUUUCCUCUCAAUUUCUAUUGGUUAUCAACAUAAUCACAAGAAUUCAAGAGAAUACCUUGCAAUUUCAAAAGUCCCACAUCGAAAUUGAAACAACUUUGAGGGUUUUUGGGGUUCUAUAUAAAGAACCCCACUCUCAACACAUACACAUACAACAAGUCUCAUUCUCAUUGAGCAAAAAAAUCGAUUUAACUAGGGUUAGCAAAUUUUACUUAAAACCUUGAUCUAAUUGAGUCUCUAGUCUAAAAUUUUUAUUUUUCUUUCUUUGUGUGGCUGGGUUCUGGUGUUGAGAGCAAAGAAGUACUCCAAAUCCAUUCUCGACUAGGGCUGCACUCAGAAAAGGGAACUCCGUCGUCGGGCCAUUUGGGCCAAAACUGCAACAACCCAUUUCUUCGAUCGAGUCUGUAUGCUUGAAGGCCCUACCAUGGGUGAAAAUGGUUAACUGGUGGGCUUGGUAGGCCCACCAGCCUAACUCCUCUUUCAUUUCGUAUAUGUAUUUAUGAUUGUAUUUGUAACGAAUACUUGUACAUAUUGAAACCCGAAUGGAUAGGAACCCUCAAAUGAUUUUAAAAAACUAGACCCAACAAAAGUAAAAGGAUAAUGUCUUCAAGAAUUUGAAAUAAAGGAUAAACUACUUUGCCAA